rnacentral:rRNA from 1 species
ACGGGGUGCAGCAGGCGCGAAACCUCCGCCAUGUACGAAAGUGCGACGGCGGGAUCCCAAGUCUUAUGCUUUAUUUGUAUAACUUUUCAUUAGUGUAAAAAGCUUAUAGAAUAAGAGCUGGCAAGACCGGUGCCAGCCGCCGCGGUAAU